UCUCCUGGAAACGGGUGGUAAUGCCGGAUGUUCCACAUGAGCGCAUGCGAGUGUGGGAAAGGCUUUUUGCGGCAUGGGAUGGGGUCGCGUCCUAUCAGCUUGUUGGUGGGGUAACGGCCUACCAAGGCGUUGACGGGUAGCCGGCCUGAGAGGGCGACCGGCCACAUUGGGACUGAGAUACGGCCCAGACUCCUACGGGAGGCAGCAGUGGGGAAUAUUGCACAAUGGGCGCAAGCCUGAUGCAGCGACGCCGCGUGCGGGAUGGAGGCCUUCGGGUUGUAAACCGCUUUUGUUCAAGGGCAAGGCACGGUUUCGGCCGUGUUGAGUGGAUUGUUCGAAUAAGCACCGGCUAACUACGUGCCAGCAGCCGCGGUAAUACGUAGGGUGCAAGCGUUAUCCGGAUUUAUUGGGCGUAAAGGGCUCGUAGGCGGUUCCGUCCCCGUCCGGUGUGAAAGUCCAUCGCUUAACGGUUGGAUCCGCGCCGGGUACGGGCGGGCUUGAGUGCGGUAGGGGAGACUGGUAUUUUCCUGGUGUAACGGUGGAAUGUGUUAUAUAUUCGGGAAGAACCC
rnacentral:rRNA from 1 species